rnacentral:rRNA from 1 species
GUAGGGCGGGACACGUGGUAUCCUGUCUGAAUAUGGGGGGACCAUCCUCCAAGGCUAAAUACUCCUGACUGACCGAUAGUGAACCAGUACCGUGAGGGAAAGGCGAAAAGAACCCCGGCGAGGGGAGUGAAAAAGAACCUGAAACCGUGUACGUACAAGCAGUAGGAGCCCACUAGUUGGGUGACUGCGUACCUUUUGUAUAAUGGGUCAGCGACUUAUAUUCUGUAGCAAGGUUAACCGAAUAGGGGAGCCGCAGGGAAACCGAGUCUUAACUGGGCGUUAAGUUGCAGGGUAUAGACCCGAAACCCGGUGAUCUAGCCAUGGGCAGGUUGAAGGUUGGGUAACACUAACUGGAGGACCGAACCGACUAAUGUUGAAAAAUUAGCGGAUGACUUGUGGCUGGGGGUGAAAGGCCAAUCAAACCGGGAGAUAGCUGGUUCUCCCCGAAAGCUAUUUAGGUAGCGCCUCGUGAAUUCAUCUUCGGGGGUAGAGCACUGUUUCGGCUAGGGGGUCAUCCCGACUUACCAACCCGAUGCAAACUACGAAUACCGAAGAAUGUUAUCACGGGAGACACACGGCGGGUGCUAACGUCCGUCGUGAAGAGGGAAACAACCCAGACCGCCAGCUAAGGUCCCAAAGUCAUGGUUAAGUGGGAAACGAUGUGGGAAGGCCCAGACAGCCAGGAUGUUGGCUUAGAAGCAGCCAUCAUUUAAAGAAAGCGUAAUAGCUCACUGGUCGAGUCGGCCUGCGCGGAAGAUGUAACGGGGCUAAACCAUGCACCGAAGCUGCGGCAGCGACACUAUGUGUUGUUGGGUAGGGGAGCGUUCUGUAAGCCGUUGAAGGUGGCCUGUGAGGGUUGCUGGAGGUAUCAGAAGUGCGAAUGCUGACAUAAGUAACGAUAAUGCGGGUGAAAAACCCGCACGCCGGAAGACCAAGGGUUCCUGUCCAACGUUAAUCGGGGCAGGGUGAGUCGACCCCUAAGGCGAGGCCGAAAGGCGUAGUCGAUGGGAAACAGGUUAAUAUUCCUGUACUUGGUGUUACUGCGAAGGGGGGACGGAGAAGGCUAUGUUGGCCGGGCGACGGUUGUCCCGGUUUAAGCAUGUAGGCGGAUGUUCCAGGUAAAUCCGGAACGUUACUAACGCUGA